CAAGUAAUAGCACAAGACUUAACGGAACGCCUUGGAAAGGGCGGCCAUAGUGGGUGAUAGCCCCGUACGUGAAAAGACCUGUGUGGUACUGAGCUUGCGAAAAGUAGGGCGGGACACGUGAAAUCCUGUCUGAAGAUGGGGGGACCAUCCUCCAAGGCUAAAUACUCAUCAUCGACCGAUAGUGAACAAGUACCGUGAGGGAAAGGCGAAAAGAACCCCGGGAGGGGAGUGAAAUAGAUCCUGAAACCGCAUGCUUACAAAAAGUAGGAGCCCGCAAGGGUGACUGCGUACCUUUUGUAUAAUGGGUCAGCGACUUACAUUCAGUGGCGAGCUUAACCGAAUAGGGUAGGCGCAGGGAAACCGAGUCCGAAUAGGGCGAUUCAGUCGCUGGGUGUAGACCCGAAACCAAGUGAUCUAUCCAUGGCCAGGAUGAAGGUGCCGUAACAGGUACUGGAGGUCCGAACCGACUAGUGUUGCAAAACUAGCGGAUGAGCUGUGGAUAGGGGUGAAAGGCUAAACAAACUUGGAAAUAGCUGGUUCUCUCCGAAAACUAUUUAGGUAGUGCCUCAAGUAUUACCUGCGGGGGUAGAGCACUGUUUAGGCUAGGGGGUCAUGGCGACUUACCAAACCUUGGCAAACUCCGAAUACCGCAGAGUACAGCUU
rnacentral:ncRNA from 1 species